rnacentral:rRNA from 1 species
AAACCGUUGAAAGGGAAGCGAAUGGAGUUAGCAAUUCGCCUUGUCAGACUCAGCUGCUCGUGCAUCGCGACGCGUGCGUUCUCGAUCCCUAUAGACGAGACGUGUGCGGGCGCGGCGUGCGGACGGCGCACUUCUGGCGGGCGAGCGUCAGCGUCGGUUGUCGACGGGUGAAAAGGUCGCGAGGAAGGUGGACUGGCCUCACGGCUGGUUGUUAUAGCCUCGCGUUCGUAUAGCCCGACGGCGACCGUGGCUCUUUGAGGCGACGCGUGCCUGGCUGGCGACUCGUACGAUCGGUCCGGCAUGUCGACCGUGGCGGACGGCACGCCUGUGCGCUCAAACUGCUGCCGGUCGAUUGGACGAUGUUCGCACACUACGCGUCGAAGAUGCUGACGACCAUACGGCUCCAUCCGACCCGUCUUGAAACACGGACCAAGGAGUCUAACAUGUGCGCGAGUCUCCGGGUGAGCGAAACCCGUGGGCACAAUGAAAGUAAAGAUCGUCCCAGACGAUUGAGGUGAGAAGCUGGUGCCACGCGUGCCGGCCGCAUCAUCGACCGACCUAUUCUGCUCUCAGAAAGGUUUGAGUAAGAGCGUAUCUGUUGGGACCCGAAAGAUGGUGAACUAUGCCUGAAUAGGGUGAAGCCAGCGGAAACACUG